rnacentral:rRNA from 1 species
UAGGGAAUCUUCCGCAAUGGGCGAAAGCUUGACGGAGCAACGCCGCGUGAGUGAUGAAGGUCUUCGGAUCGUAAAACUCUGUUAUUAGGGAAGAACAAAUGAGUAAGUAACUAUGCACGUCUUGACGGUACCUAAUCAGAAAGCCACGGCUAACUACGUGCCAGCAGCCGCGGUAAUACGUAGGUGGCAAGCGUUAUCCGGAAUUAUUGGGCGUAAAGCGCGCGUAGGCGGUUUUUUAAGUCUGAUGUGAAAGCCCACGGCUCAACCGUGGAGGGUCAUUGGAAACUGGAAAACUUGAGUGCAGAAGAGGAAAGUGGAAUUCCAUGUGUAGCGGUGAAAUGCGCAGAGAUAUGGAGGAACACCAGUGGCGAAGGCGACUUUCUGGUCUGUAACUGACGCUGAUGUGCGAAAGCGUGGGGAUCAAACAGG